GACGAACGCUGGCGGCGUGCUUAACACAUGCAAGUCGAACGGAAAGGCCCUGCUUUUGUGGGGUGCUCGAGUGGCGAACGGGUGAGUAACACGUGAGUAACCUGCCCUUGACUUUGGGAUAACUUCAGGAAACUGGGGCUAAUACCGGAUAGGAGCUCCUGCUGCAUGGUGGGGGUUGGAAAGUUUCGGCGGUUGGGGUUGGACUCGCGGCUUAUCAGCUUGUUGGUGGGGUAGUGGCUUACCAAGGCUUUGACGGGUAGCCGGCCUGAGAGGGUGACCGGCCACAUUGGGACUGAGAUACGGCCCAGACUCCUACGGGAGGCAGCAGUGGGGAAUAUUGCACAAUGGGCGGAAGCCUGAUGCAGCAACGCCGCGUGCGGGAUGACGGCCUUCGGGUUGUAAACCGCUUUCGCCUGUGACGAAGCGUGAGUGACGGGAAUGGGGAAAGAAGCACCGGCUAACUACGG
rnacentral:rRNA from 1 species